UACCAGACUGGCGGCGAGAUCAAAAGAGCGCCGAACUCUCCCAAAGGGAAUAUACGGCUCUGCCAGACAAACAGCUAAGAACUUGUGCACGUUCGGAUAGAGUGCUUUUUUGCGCUUUUCUUCACUGCUGUUUGUGCAAGAUAUUGGGCCUGAGACCACGCCGGCUAAUGCGGAAGCCAGUGCAGUUUCUUUGACGAGACUUGGAG